CGUAGGUGGCGAGCGUUGUCCGGAAUUAUUGGGCGUAAAGCGCGCGUAGGUGGGAUAUUAAGUCUAUUCUAAAAACGUGGGGCUCAACCCUGUCGGUGCAUCUCAUACUGGCGUGCUAGAGGACAGCAGAGGCAAGUGGAAUUAGCAGUGUAGCAGUGAAAUGCGUAGAUAUUGCUAGGAACACCAAUGGCGAAGGCAGCUUGCUGGGCUACUCCUGACACUGAGGUACGAAAGCGUGGGGAGCGAACAGGAUUAGAUACCCUGGUAGUCCACGCCGUAAACGAUGCAUACUAGACGUAUGGGGUAUCGACCCCCUGUGCGUCGAAGCUAACGCGAUAAGUAUGCCGCCUGGGAAGUACGGCCGCAAGGCUA
rnacentral:rRNA from 1 species